rnacentral:tRNA from 2 species
GGCGGGGAGCCUAGAUAAGAGGAAUCAUAAUCCUUGUGUCGGGGGUUCAAAUCCCUCCUCCGCUACCA